ensembl:snRNA
AAAAAGGGCAUCUACUAUAAGUGGUAUACCUGCGGAAAAGUUUUUUAGACGCAGUUACGGAAUCAAUAUCAAGAGAUUUCGGAUGCAUAAUUUUUACACCCGGGACAGCUAAUGACUUUAGAUCUUGGCGCCCCA